UCUAUUUAGUAGAAAAUUAGCCUCUUUUCAAAACUUUGAUGCCUAAUUCCUUCAUGAAUUAAUCUAAUUGAAUCUUUUAUGGGGAUCUUAUGUUGUGAACUGCAGCUCCUUUCAUACAUGUUGAAUUACUUUGGGGCUAAUGAAAUGAGACUUUCUCAUAAAUAAUAGAUGUGUUCAGAAUUGAGAGACUGUUCAUUUGAUCAUCAGAGGCUUAGACUCUUUUAUUGCAUGCUUAGACUGCAGUACAUUGAGAACCUAUUUGGCUUUUUUUCAUCAUGGAUCCUUCAUCUGGGAGAGAACAACAAUUUUGUUACUGUAUUAAAAUGCCUAGUAAUGAAGGAUUUGAUAUCCUGAAUUUCAAUGUUAAAAUUGAUACUUCCUGGCUUUUCCAGGAAUUAGAAGAUGCAAGCAUACCCACUGAACAAGCAAACAAUGCUGGAGAAGAGAAUUUGAACCUCAGAAUAAAAAAGCUGGAAAAGUCAGAGCGAAAACUGAAAGGUGUUCUAGAGGAUUACGUGGAGUCAGAUUCUGUCCUAAGAAACAGGAUGAAAGAGCUGGAGCUGUCACACAAAACACUUCUUGUGACAAUUGAUCAACUAAAUGUGAAGUUGCACCAGGUUGAAAAUGCAAAUGUGCGUGUUAAAGGGAAACUGCGAGACAUUCAGGAGGACCUGAUCAACUUGGUUGAAAACCGAGAAAAGUCAGAGAAGAAGCAAAAGGAAAAAUUUCAUUGGAUUCAGGAGCAGCUGAAGACAAAAGAAGAUGAAAUAAAAAGCCAGUUGGAGUAUUUUGAGCACUACAAACAAAGGCAGAGACAACAGACAGCAGUGCUGAGAGAAAGGGAAUGUUACCUUCGGGGUGAGGUAUCUAGGCUGGAAAAGCAAGUCCUAGAUCUUAGUGCUCAUAUUGCUCUUUUGACAUCUGAAUUAGAAGAGGGGAAGGUGCAGUAUCUCCAGCAGAAGCUGGAAUCAGCAUUCAGUGGGAUUCAGGGAUGUAAAGACUCUGUGGAAGUGAUGGAAUUGAAAACUUGCGUUAAUAAUGUGGAGCAUGACAUGAAAAGCCACCUUGAGAUACUUCAGCAAAAUAUGAAGUUCUUGAGGGAAAAAGAGGAGGACAACAUAAGAGGUCAGGCAGACCUGCUGACUGAACUCCAGCGCUCUCAGGACACUGAAGACUUUCUCAGAAGAAAAUUGGAAGAAUCUUGCCAUCGUGUUUAUAGUCUGAAAUUAUCUGAAGCCAAACUACAGGAAAAAAUAGAGGAGCUUUUGGAUGAAAAUAGGGCGUUAAAAGAUCAAGGUAGAGUGACGUUGAGGAAGAAAGAAAAGGACUCACAACCUACAAGAUUGGAGAAUGGAGAUGACAGUGUUGACCUGAAUCGAGAUCUAAUCCAGGAUGACAUUCAAAAUCUGAAAUGGGGAGCAGAUUCACUCAGAAGCAGAGCUACUCAAACUCCAGUUGUGCUGCUAAAUGCUAGAGAGUCUGGUAUGAAAACAAACUGAAAUUUUUGCUUUAAUUUCUGUGCAAUAAGACUGAAGAUGAUUUCAUGCAUGGACUCUGCAUGACUUAGGAGGCUUUCAGAAGGUCUUCUAGUCUGGAAACUGUAUCUUGGGAAGGUGAAGCAGUAACUAUUUGUCAGUAUGAUACUAGCAUUUAGAGUCUGGAAACUGUAUCUUGGGAAGGUGAAGCAAUAACUAUUUGCCAGUAUGAUACCAGCAUAUGAGAUUUCUCAAGAAAUCCUGGAAUCCUAGAAUCAUGGAAUAGUUUGGGUUGGAAGGAACUUUAAAAGUUGUCCAGUCCAACUCCCCUGCAAUGAGCAGGUACACCUUCAACUAGAUCAGGUUGUUCAGAGCCCCAUUCAACCUGACCUUAAAUAUUUUCAGGGAUGGGACAUCUACCAUCUG
rnacentral:lncRNA from 1 species